rnacentral:tRNA from 1 species
GCCGUUGUAGCUCAAGUAGAGCGGCGGGCAUUUAACCCGCGUCACACUGACGAUACGCAAGAGCGGCCCCGCCCGGCCUGUCCCCGGGACGGAUUGAAACUCUUGUGGUGCUGGUUCGAGUCCAGCCAUCGGCU